GAUGAACGCUGGCGGCGUGCCUAAUACAUGCAAGUCGAGCGAACAGAUGAGGAGCUUGCUCCUCUGACGUUAGCGGCGGACGGGUGAGUAACACGUGGAUAACCUACCUAUAAGACUGGGAUAACUUCGGGAAACCGGAGCUAAUACCGGAUAAUAUAUUGAACCGCAUGGUUCAUAGUGAAAGACGGUUUUGCUGUUACUUAUAGAUGGAUCCGCGCCGCAUUAGCUAGUUGGUAAGGUAACAGCUUACCAAGGCAACGAUGCGUAGCCGACCUGAGAGGGUGAUCGGCCACACUGGAACUGAGACACGGUCCAGACUCCUACGGGAGGCAGCAGUAGGGAAUCUUCCGCAAUGGGCGAAAGCCUGACGGAGCAACGCCGCGUGAGUGAUGAAGGUCUUCGGAUCGUAAAACUCUGUUAUUAGGGAAGAACAAAUGUGUAAGUAACUAUGCACGUCUUGACGGUACCUAAUCAGAAAGCCACGGCUAACUACGUG
rnacentral:rRNA from 1 species